rnacentral:rRNA from 1 species
AUUGAUUUUAUGCUUGCAUAAAUGAUUUUUGGAUUCGGAGCGAGUGGCGAACUGGUGAGUAACACGUGGGUAACCUGCCCCGAAGCGGGGGAUAACAUUUGGAAACAAGUGCUAAUACCGCAUAAUUAGUUGGAACCGCAUGGUUCCAACUUGAAAGAUGGCUCUGCUAUCACUUUGGGAUGGACCCGCGCCGUAUUAGUUAGUUGGUGAGAUAAAAGCCCACCAAGACGAUGAUACGUAGCCGACCUGAGAGGGUAAUCGGCCACAUUGGGACUGAGACACGGCCCAGACUCCUACGGGAGGCAGCAGUAGGGAAUCUUCCACAAUGGACGAAAGUCUGAUGGAGCAACGCCGCGUGAGUGAUGAAGGUUUUCGGAUCGUAAAACUCUGUUGUUAAAGAAGAACAAGUGUUAGAGUAACUGUUAACACUUUGACGGUAUUUAACCAGAAAGCCACGGCUAACUACGUGCCAGCAGCCGCGGUAAUACGUAGGUGGCAAGCGUUGUCCGGAUUUAUUGGGCGUAAAGCGAGCGCAGGCGGUUUUGUAAGUCUGCUGUGAAAGCCCUCAGCUCAACUGAGGAAGUGCAGUGGAAACUACAAAACUUGAGUACAGAAGAGGAAAGUGGAACUCCAUGUGUAGCGGUGAAAUGCGUAGAUAUAUGGAAGAACACCAGUGGCGAAGGCGGCUUUCUGGUCUGUUACUGACGCUGAGGCUCGAAAGCAUGGGUAGCGAACAGGAUUAGAUACCCUGGUAGUCCAUGCCGUAAACGAUGAAUACUAGGUGUUGGAGGGUUUCCGCCCUUCAGUGCCGCAGCUAACGCAUUAAGUAUUCCGCCUGGGGAGUACGACCGCAAGGUUGAAACUCAAAGGAAUUGACGGGGGCCCGCACAAGUGGUGGAGCAUGUGGUUUAAUUCGAUGCUACGCGAAGAACCUUACCAGCUCUUGACAUCUUCUGCCAACCCAAGAGAUUGGGCGUUCCCUUCGGGGACAGAAUGGCAGGUGGUGCAUGGUUGUCGUCAGCUCGUGUCGUGAGAUGUUGGGUUAAGUCCCGCAACGAGCGCAACCCUUAUUAUUAGUUGCCAGCAUUUAGUUGGGCACUCUAGUGAGACUGCCGGUGAUAAA